rnacentral:lncRNA from 1 species
CAAAAGGAGGCUUGGGAUUGAUUUUAGGGGUUAUGGUCCCUAAGGUUUAGGAAUGAGGGGUCCAAAGGGGCCCAAAACGAGCAUUUAUCUAGUGUCAGUACAAAAAGUUGAGUAUAAGUAUUUUAAAUGUUCUGAAAUUGUACCACAAUGUUUAAUACCAUAAGUAGAAGGUUGGAAUACAUUUUGUGGGUUAUGAGGCAAGCAGUCUAGGAAUAAACAUGAUAGAGGGCCAAAAACAAGCAUUUUUUGUAGUUUCAAAGACAAAUAAAUUGGAGUUAUCUUUCUUUGUCCAGAAUGGUUGUUGAAUCACCUAAAACCAAUGCUUUAUGAAAUCUUCUUUAAAAAUUG